GCCAGUGAAAUUCUGGCGCUGUCCCGCAACUGUGAAUUUAGUUAGGUAGUUGGAUAGUUACGUAGUUUUGUAGUUGGAUUUUGAACCAUGUAACUACUGAACCACAAAACUACCAAACUAAAUGAGUCAGG
rnacentral:ncRNA from 2 species